rnacentral:rRNA from 1 species
GAUGAACGCUGGCGGCGUGCCUAAUACAUGCAAGUCGAGCGAAUGGAUUAAGUGCUCGCUCUUAUGAAGUUAGCGGCGGACGGGUGAGUAACACGUGGGUAACCUGCCCAUAAGACUGGGAUAACUCCGGGAAACCGGGGCUAAUACCGGAUAACAUUUUGAACCGCAUGGUUCGAAAUUGAAAGGCGGCUUCGGCUGUCACUUAUGGAUGGACCCGCGUCGCAUUAGCUAGUUGGUGAGGUAACGGCUCACCAAGGCAACGAUGCGUAGCCGACCUGAGAGGGUGAUCGGCCGCACUGGGACUGAGACACGGCCCAGACUCCUACGGGAGGCAGCAGUAGGGAAUCUUCCGCAAUGGACGAAAGUCUGACGGAGCAACGCCGCGUGAGUGAUGAAGGCUUUCGGGUCGUAAAACUCUGUUGUUAGGGAAGAACAAGUGCUAGUUGAAUAAGCUGGCACCUUGACGGUACCUAACCAGAAAGCCACGGCUAACUACGUGCCAGCCGCCGCUGUAA